rnacentral:siRNA from 1 species
UAUGGUCGUCGAGUGAAUUGUUGA